UCCGGUUUGUCACCGGCAGUCCUCUGUGAGUCCCCGAUAUAACUCGCUGGCAACACAGAGCAGGGGUUGCGCUCGUUGCGGGACUUAACCCAACAUCUCACGGCACGAGCUGACGACAGCCAUGCACCACCUGUGAUGCGGCUCCGAAGAGGGACCGUGUUUCCACGGUUUUCCACAACAUGUCAAGCCUUGGUAAGGUUCUUCGCGUCGCAUCGAAUUAAACCACAUGCUCCACCGCUUGUGCGGGCCCCCGUCAAUUCCUUUGAGUUUCAGCCUUGCGACUGUACUCCCCAGGCGGCAUAUUUAACGCGUUAGCUCCGGCACAGACCAAAUGAAUGGCCCACACCAAAUAUGCAUCGUUUAGGGCGUGGACUACC
rnacentral:misc_RNA from 1 species